GGGGCUGAUCGGUUUUGACAGCAGGCCGAGGCGGAAUGUAAGCAUGCCGGGCCAUGAGGAUGUCGCCCGUAAAUCCAAUGCCUCGACCCUUUUAACUGGCGCAAACAACUACGCGCUUGCCGCCUGAUCGAGCGAUAGCCGAUCAAGCUAAUCUCCCACAAGGUGGGUGAGCAAGUCAUCUCCCGGAAGCCCAUGUCAGGUGGCGUCCGAUCCGGAGGUGCAGGGUAACCGGACUGGAAGGCAGUGGGCCAUGCGCUGUCUUUGAGAACGAGUGGCUAAGCUUGUGGUAGGCCGUCUGCAGCCGGCCACUUGCCGACAACCAAUUGCGGACUAAGCAUGUAGAAAGCAUUGCGUGUCCCUGUUUGGACGCGGGUUCGAUCCCCGCCAGCUCCAC
rnacentral:tmRNA from 1 species